AGAGUUUGAUCCUGGCUCAGGAUGAACGCUAGCUACAGGCUUAACACAUGCAAGUCGAGGGGCAGCGAUGAAGAAAGCUUGCUUUCUUCAGGCGGCGACCGGCGCACGGGUGAGUAACGCGUAUCGAACCUGCCUCAUACUCAGGAAUAGCCUUGCGAAAGUAAGAUUAAUGCCCGAUGUUAUUAGGAUAUCACAUGAUGUUUUAAUUAAAGAUUUAUCGGUAUGAGAUGGCGAUGCGUCCCAUUAGCUUGUUGGCGGGGUAACGGCCCACCAAGGCAUCGAUGGGUAGGGGUUCUGAGAGGAAGGUCCCCCACAUUGGAACUGAGACACGGUCCAAACUCCUACGGGAGGCAGCAGUGAGGAAUAUUGGUCAAUGGACGCAAGUCUGAACCAGCCAAGUAGCGUGCAGGAAGACGGCCCUCUGGGUUGUAAACUGCUUUUAGUUGGGAAUAAAGUGCAUCACGUGUGAUGUUUUGUAUGUACCAUCAGAAAAAGGACCGGCUAAUUCCGUGCCAGCAGCCGCGGUAAUACGGAAGGUCCAGGCGUUAUCCGGAUUUAUUGGGUUUAAAGGGAGCGCAGGCGGACCUUUAAGUCAGCUGUGAAAUACGGCGGCUCAACCGUCGAACUGCAGUUGAUACUGGAGGUCUUGAGUGCACACAGGGAUACUGGAAUUCAUGGUGUAGCGGUGAAAUGCUCAGAUAUCAUGAAGAACUCCGAUCGCGAAGGCAGGUAUCCGGGGUGCAACUGACGCUGAGGCUCGAAAGUGCGGGUAUCAAACAGGAUUAGAUACCCUGGUAGUCCGCACAGUAAACGAUGAAUACUCGCGAUUUGCGAUACACAGUAAGUCGCCAAGCGAAAGCGUUAAGUAUUCCACCUGGGGAGUACGCCGGCAACGGUGAAACUCAAAGGAAUUGACGGGGGCCCG
rnacentral:rRNA from 1 species